AACGUAGGUGGCGAGCGUUAUCCGGAUUUACUGGGCGUAAAGGGUGUGCAGGCGGGCUGUUAAGUGGUGUAUGAAAUCGCCGGGCUCAACCGGGCGAGGUUAUGCCAGACUGCAGUCUAGAGAGCGAGAGAGGGACGUGGAAUUCCGGGUGUAGUGGUGAAAUGCGUAGAGAUCCGGAGGAACCCCAGAGGCGAAGGCGGCGUCCUGGCUCGCAUCUGACGCUCAGACACGACAGCAUGGGGAGCGAACGGG
rnacentral:rRNA from 1 species